GAUGAACGCUGGCGGCGUGCCUAAUACAUGCAAGUCGAGCGAACGGACGAGAAGCUUGCUUCUCUGAUGUUAGCGGCGGACGGGUGAGUAACACGUGGAUAACCUACCUAUAAGACUGGGAUAACUUCGGGAAACCGGAGCUAAUACCGGAUAAUAUUUUGAACCGCAUGGUUCAAAAGUGAAAGACGGUCUUGCUGUCACUUAUAGAUGGAUCCGCGCUGCAUUAGCUAGUUGGUAAGGUAACGGCUUACCAAGGCAACGAUGCAUAGCCGACCUGAGAGGGUGAUCGGCCACACUGGAACUGAGACACGGUCCAUACUCCUACGGGAGGCAGCAGUAGGGAAUCUUCCGCAAUGGGCGAAAGCCUGACGGAGCAACGCCGCGUGAGUGAUGAAGGUCUUCGGAUCGUAAAACUCUGUUAUGAGGGAAGAACAUAUGUGUAAGUAACUGUGCACAUCUUGACGGUACCUAAUCAGAAAGCCACGGCUAACUACGUG
rnacentral:rRNA from 1 species